rnacentral:misc_RNA from 1 species
AAGUCGUAACAAGGUAACCGUAGGUGAACCUGCGGUUGGAUCAUUAAAAAUACUGAACACUCGUGGAGGUGACAUCGUCUCCGCCACGAGUAUAAUCUAAAUCCACAUCUUGUGAACCGUACCGUCUUUGGUGGUGGGGUGGACGCCCGCGGCAAGCGGCGCGCCCAUCUGUCAGCUUGGAACGAAAGCUCCGGGCCGUGGACAAGCCACCGCAUGUAUUCAAACCAUUGCUUUCUGUUUUUGUCUGACGAUUCAUUCUGUAUUAAAUAUACAAACAACUUUUGGCAACGGAUCUCUUGGUUCUC